rnacentral:misc_RNA from 1 species
CAGGGUAUGAACUCGUAUGUGCGUCUCUACCCACGCAUACACAGACACACGGCCACGACGGCAUCAUCGCCAAGAAAGCGGCGUAGCCACGCUUUCUUCUCCGCGAACAUAAACAAAUGGCUACAUUGGCAGACGGUGCGAGCUCCGAGGCGUUGACGGCUCACUCAGACACACACCCGCUCACGGGAGACCAGGUGGAUAAGAUCAAAGCCCUCAUACGCCUCAUGAAGGAGCGCUACGACCCACUGCCUCCUCAGCUGGAGACGUACUUGCGGCUGAUACCGCCGACCUCCGGUGCAGCUUCAGGGGAGGCAGACGGCGACGACGAGGCCGGGCCGCGUCGCCCGGAUCGCGGCCCAAUGUGGUUCUACUGCACCAGCUUUCUCAUGUCUCGGGAGUGGGAUGUGCAGAAGGCGUUUGCCAUGAUGCAGGAAGUCGUGGCGUAUCGAGCGGCGAAUCGCCUCGAUGAGCAGAGCCACUUCCCACCUGCCUUUUCGGUGCGCGGGUGGUCUACCGAAGAUGUAUGCAGGGCGCUGGAGCACAGUCCGCGUAAGGCUGGUGAGCGCAUCGACCGCGUCUGCGCUGGGGUGGCGCAGGGGCUCACCUGUGGCAUUCACUACUGGGACAAGAAUGGCCGCCCCGUUUUUUAUAUGAUUAUUGACAGUUUUGAUGAGGCUGAGCUCAUGCGACAGCUAAAGCAGAUGGCGAGCGUUGGCAAGUCGCAUGUGGAUGUCAUGUGGGAGUACAUGGUGCACAUUCUCAGCGUGACCGAGUCUCUGGUGCUCUACCAGCUCAUCCAGCGCGGGGCGCCGCUAUCAGGGCGGGCACUGACUUCAAACACCGCAGACGAAGCGGCACCCGCGUGGGACUUCUCCGAGGGUGCUGUGACGAUGGUAUACGAUAUGAAGGGGCUUACGCUGAAGAUGCUGUGGAGGCCGAUUAUCGAUAUGUUUUGUGACAAUUCCAAGAUGUUUUUCAAGUACUACCCCGACAGAAUUCACCGCAUUGUCUGCGUCAACUCGCCAAGUCUCGUCCGCUACGCCUUUAUUCUUGUGCGUGGCGUCCUGCCGGCAACCUUCCAGAAGAAGAUCAGUUUCGUGAGCGCGCACGACACUCUCGCCACGCUGGAAACAAUGAUAGACAGAAAGUAUAUUCCACACUUUCUCGGCGGCGAGUGCCGCUGUAAGGCCCACGAUGGCAAGUGCCUGAGUGGCUACGACCCGCAACAUCCGCGACGGACGCGGAGGACGAGGAGGACGGACGCACAUACUGACGCCUCCGCUGAAGGCAACGAUGAGGUUCCCACGGAGUAUGUGACGCUGGCGGCGGGGCACGAAUGCACGCGAGUGUUUCCGGUGAAUGCGUCGGAAGUGGUCGUCUGGGAGUUCGCUGUGGAGGGUGGUGGUCAUGACAUCAUCUUCACCACCUUCUUUGUGCCCCAGUUGGCGGCUUCAGGGAUGCGGUGGACCCAGGUCGAUCUGAACAAGCUGAGCUCGUACACGGUCACCUCCGAGGCGCUGGCCAAGGGGUCCGAUGCGUUUGCCGCGGCCGAGGACGGCGUAGUAGUGCUGAAGUGGCGCAACCGGCGGCACUGGUUUGCUUCAAGGCACCUUCAGUUCCGUGCCUACAAGGAGGGCGCGCCCAGCACCCUUCACGGGCAAGAUUCGCGUUCCGAAUAGCGGUUCGCGCACAAGCCGACAGGGGAACGCACACGCGCAACGAGAGAGGCGCGGACGUCGCCGUCUAUUUGUUUUGCCCUCCCUCUAUUCCUUUGCCCUUCGUAGGAGAGUGGGUCUGCGUGCGUUCUGGUGUCGCGCCAUGCGACGGAGAGCCUGCACUAGCGGCUUUCGAAGUAUUACUUGGUUUUGAUUUGCGUUGCCCGUUACACAGUUUCUUCACAGGGAAGCGCGCACGAGGGAGACUGCGGGCACACAGCUCCGCUUGCCAACGACACCCAUUGGCUGGCUUCUCCUCUUCCUGCAUUCCUUCUCCUGUCUAGAAACCCUCUGCGUACGUGUGCGUUUGUGUGUCUGUGGUGUCUGUGCUUCCCAUUCAACGCCCGCAAGAGGUGCGCGUUCUCUCCCGUGCCCGCUGGCCACGACUAUUCUGGUCCCGUCACGGCGCCAGCGCUUCCGUGCAAAGCGCCAGUAGGCGCGGCGAGGACAACGGCCAGCACCCCUCUUGCGCUA